UGGUGAUGGCGAUGGGAGGAAGAAGCCGAGAGGCGGUGUCUCUGCCAAUCAAACACCGUGCCUGGUUUACUUCAGCAGAGUCAUCCCCGUGCCUCGCUGAGGUAAACCAGGUGCGGUGUUUGAUUGGCAGAGCCUCCGCCGCUCAGCCUCUUCCUCCCGUCGCCAUCACCG